rnacentral:rRNA from 1 species
AACGAACGCUGGCGGCGCGCCUAAUACAUGCAAGUCGAGCGAGAAGACGUAGCAAUACGUUUGUAAAGCGGCGAACGGGUGAGGAAUACAUGGGUAACCUACCCUCGAGUGGGGAAUAACUAGCCGAAAGGUUAGCUAAUACCGCGUACGCUCCUUGGACUUCGGUUCAGGGAGGAAAGCGAUACCGUGGGUAUCGCGCUCUUGGAUGGGCUCAUGUCCUAUCAGCUUGUUGGUGAGGUAACGGCUCACCAAGGCUUCGACGGGUAGCUGGUCUGAGAGGACGAUCAGCCACACUGGCACUGCGACACGGGCCAGACUCCUACGGGAGGCAGCAGUAAGGAAUAUUGCGCAAUGGGCGAAAGCCUGACGCAGCGACGCCGCGUGGGGGAUGAAGGUCUUCGGAUUGUAAACCCCUUUCGGGAGGGAAGAUGGAACGAGCAAUCGUUCGGACGGUACCUCCAGAAGCAGCCACGGCUAACUUCGUGCCAGCCGCCGCAGU